rnacentral:rRNA from 1 species
GAUGAGCCGCGCGNAUAGCAGUUGUGGGAAGCACAGGCAUGAUGCGUAGCCAGUUGAGAGACUGAUCCGGCCACAGUUGGGACUGAGACACGGCCCCAAAACUCCGUACGGGGAGCAGCAGUAGGGAACUCUUCACAAUGGACGCAAGUCUGAUGGAGCAACGCCGCGUGAGUAGAAGAACGGUCUUCGGAUCGUAAAGCUGUGUUGUUGGAGAAAGAGGAUAGAGCUAGUACUGGUUCUUUAGUUGACGUAAUACAACGAGAACGUCACGUCUAAACUACGUAGCCAGCACGGCCGUACGGUAAAGUACGGUAAGGGUGG